ACGCUCGACACCUACGGGAUGCAGCAGUGGGGAAUAUUGCACAAUGGGGGAAACCCUGAUGCAGCAACGCCGCGUGAAGGAAGACGGUUUUCGGAUUGUAAACUUCUGUUCUUAGUGAAGAUAGUGACGGUAGCUAAGGAGCAAGCCACGGCUAACUACGUGCCAGCAGCCGCGGUAAUCUGAGCGGCUGGCAAGGC
rnacentral:rRNA from 1 species